rnacentral:rRNA from 1 species
AAAAAGUACGCCCCAAGCCAGCAUGAUGACCAGAGAAUGCUUGUGAUCCCGCGAACUCACCAUGUCUGGGGCGAUGGGUCUUCUUUUCCCAUCGUCCCUCGACGCCAGGAUCCCACGGGCGCCUGGAGCGCUCGGGGCAUUCUCGGCGGCACAACGAAUGCCCCGAGCGCGGAAUGCGCCAAUGGGAACUUGAACAAGAGAGACGAUGCUAAAAGAAGACCCACCACCCCAGACAUGGUGCGUGCGCGGGAUGCCAUGCAAUCUCCUCAUUAUUCAUAACGACUCUCGGCAACGGAUAUCUCGGCAGGUUCUCGCAUCGAUGAAGAACGCAGCAG